rnacentral:tRNA from 1 species
GCAGUGGUGGUUCUGUAGUAGAAUUCUUGCUUUCCAUGCAGAAGAUCUGGGUUCGAUUCCCAGGCAAUAUA